rnacentral:rRNA from 1 species
UACGAAGGGUGCAAGCGUUGCUCGGAAUUAUUGGGCGUAAAGCGCACGUAGGCGGCUAUCUAAGUCGGAUGUGAAAUCCGUCGGCUUAACCAAGGAAGUGCACCCGAAACUGGAUAGCUUGAGUACAGAAGAGGAUCGCGGAAUUCCCGGUGUAGAGGUGAAAUGCGUAGAUAUCAUGAGGAAUACCAGAGGCGAAGGCGGCUACCUGGACAAUUGCUGACGCUCAGGCACGAAAGCGUGGGGAGCAAAAGGG